AGAUUAAGUUAUUAAGGGCGCACGGUGGAUGCCUUGGCACUAGAAGCCGAUGAAGGACGUUACUAACGACGAUAUGCUUUGGGGAGCUGUAAGUAAGCUUUGAUCCAGAGAUUUCCGAAUGGGGAAACCCAGCACGAGUUAUGUCGUGUUAUCUGCAUGUGAAUACAUAGCAUGCAAGAAGGCAGACCCGGAGAACUGAAACAUCUUAGUACCCGGAGGAAGAGAAAGAAAAAUCGAUUCCCUGAGUAGCGGCGAGCGAAACGGGAAGAGCCCAAACCAAUAAGCUUGCUUAUUGGGGUUGUAGGACACUCUGUACGGAGUUACAAAAGAAUUUGUUAGACGAAUAACCUGGAAAGGUUAAUCAUAGAAGGUAAUAAUCCUGUAGUCGAAAACAAAUUCUCUCUUGAGUGGAUCCUGAGUACGACGGAGCACGUGAAAUUCCGUCGGAAUCUGGGAGGACCAUCUCCUAAGGCUAAAUACUCUCUAGUGACCGAUAGUGAACCAGUACCGUGAGGGAAAGGUGAAAAGUACCCCGGAAGGGGAGUGAAAGAGAACUUGAAACCGUGUGCUUACAAGUAGUCAGAGCCCGUUAAUGGGUGAUGGCGUGCCUUUUGUAGAAUGAACCGGCGAGUUACGAUCUGAUGCAAGGUUAAGCAGAAAAUGUGGAGCCGUAGCGAAAGCGAGUCUGAAUAGGGCGAAUGAGUAUUUGGUCGUAGACCCGAAACCAGGUGAUCUACCCUUGGUCAGGUUGAAGUUCAGGUAACACUGAAUGGAGGACCGAACCGACUUACGUUGAAAAGUGAGCGGAUGAACUGAGGGUAGCGGAGAAAUUCCAAUCGAACUUGGAGAUAGCUGGUUCUCUCCGAAAUAGCUUUAGGGCUAGCCUCAAGUGAUGAUUAUUGGAGGUAGAGCACUGUUUGGACGAGGGGCCCCUCUCGGGUUACCGAAUUCAGACAAACUCCGAAUGCCAAAUAAUUUAACUUGGGAGUCAGAAUGUGGGUGAUAAGGUCCAUAUUCGAAAGGGAAACAGCCCAGACCACCAGCUAAGGUCCCAAAAUAUAUGUUAAGUGGAAAAGGAUGUGGCGUUGCCCAGACAACUAGGAUGUUGGCUUAGAAGCAGCCAUCAUUUAAAGAGUGCGUAAUAGCUCACUAGUCGAGUGACACUGCGCCGAAAAUGUACCGGGGCUAAACAUAUUACCGAAGCUGUGGAUUGUCCUUUGGACAAUGGUAGGAGAGCGUUCUAAGGGCGUUGAAGCAUGAUCGCAAGGACAUGUGGAGCGCUUAGAAGUGAGAAUGCCGGUGUGAGUAGCGAAAGACGGGUGAGAAUCCCGUCCACCGAUUGACUAAGGUUUCCAGAGGAAGGCUCGUCCGCUCUGGGUUAGUCGGGUCCUAAGCUGAGGCCGACAGGCGUAGGCGAUGGAUAACAGGUUGAUAUUCCUGUACCACCAUUAUUCGUUUUAAGCGAUGGGGGGACGCAGUAGGAUAGGCGAAGCGUGCUGUUGGAGUGCACGUCCAAGCAGUGAGAUUGAGUGUUAGGCAAAUCCGGCACUCUUAAGAUUGAGCUGUGAUGGGGAGAGGAACUUGUUCCUCGAGUCGUUGAUUUCACACUGCCGAGAAAAGCCUCUAGCUAGAAUAACGGUGCCCGUACCGCAAACCGACACAGGUAGUCAAGAUGAGAAUUCUAAGGUGAGCGAGCGAACUCUCGUUAAGGAACUCGGCAAAAUGACCCCGUAACUUCGGGAGAAGGGGUGCUCUUU
rnacentral:rRNA from 1 species